rnacentral:tRNA from 1 species
GUCCCAAUGGCUUCUUGAGAAAUCAAGUCGGUGGAAGGCUGGUUAAACCGUUUGGUUUUCGACCACUAGGACCCGGGUUCGAUUCCCGCAUUGGACA